GACGAACGCUGGCGGCGUGCUUAACACAUGCAAGUCGAACGGAAAGGCCUGCUUUCCCUUGUGGAUUGCGGGUACUCGAGUGGCGAACGGGUGAGUAACACGUGAGUGAUCUGCCCCCAACUUGGGUAUAAGCCUGGGAAACUGGGUCUAAUUCCCGCUAGGCCUGCAGGGUGGUGCCUGUGGUGGAAAACGAUUUUCGAGUGGGUGGGGAUGAGCUCGCGGCGUAUGGGCUUGUUGGUGGGGUAAUGGCCUACCAAGGCGGCGACGGGUAGCCGGCCGGAGAAUGGGGACGGAGACACUGCGCAGACGCCUAGGGGCGGAAGCAGAGGGGAAGCAGGAGCAGGGGGCGGAAGCCUGAGGGAGCGAGGCUGAGGCGGGGAUGACGGGUUUCGGGUGGUGAACUCCUGGCGACCGCGAGGAAGCCACCUGGUUGGAAGGGUAGUGACGGUAGUGGUAGAAGAAGCACCGGCUAACUACGUG
rnacentral:rRNA from 1 species